GAAAUGCGAUAAGUAGUGUGAAUUGCAGAAUUCAGUGAAUCAUCGAAUCUUUGAACGCACAUUGCGCCCUUUGGUAUUCCAAAGGGCAUGCCUGUUCGAGCGUCAUUUGUACCCUCAAGCUUUGCUUGGUGUUGGGCGUCUUGUCUCUAGCUUUGCUGGAGACUCGCCUUAAAGUAAUUGGCAGCUGGCCUACUGGUUUCGGAGCGCAGCACAAGUCGCACUCUCUAUCAGCAAAGGUCUAGCAUCCAUUAAGCCUUUUUUCAACUUUUGACCUCGGAUCAGGUAGGGAUACCCGCUGAACUUAAGC
rnacentral:misc_RNA from 1 species